rnacentral:rRNA from 1 species
GACGAACGCUGGCGGCGUGCUUAACACAUGCAAGUCGAACGGAAAGGCCCUGCUUUUGUGGGGUGCUCGAGUGGCGAACGGGUGAGUAACACGUGAGUAACCUGCCCUUGACUUUGGGAUAACUUCAGGAAACUGGGGCUAAUACCGGAUAGGAGCUCCUGCUGCAUGGUGGGGGUUGGAAAGUUUCGGCGGUUGGGGAUGGACUCGCGGCUUAUCAGCUUGUUGGUGGGGUAGGGGCUUACCAAGGCUUUGACGGGUAGCCGGCCGGAGGGGGUGACCGGCCACAUUGGGACUGAGAUACGGCCCAGACUCCUACGGGAGGCAGCAGUGGGGAAUAGUGCACAAUGGGCGGAAGCCUGAUGCAGCAACGCCGCGUGCGGGAUGACGGCCUUCGGGUUGUAAACCGCUUUCGCCUGUGACGAAGCGUGAGUGACGGUAAUGGGUAAAGAAGCACCGGCUAACUACGUG